UGGGGAAUAUUGGGCAAUGGGCGAAAGCCUUACCCAGCAAUGCCGCGUGAGUGAUGAAGGUCUUCGGAUUGUAAAGCUCUUUGAUUAGGGACGAAGAAAGUGACGGUACCUAAAGAACAAGCCCCGGCUAACUACGUGCCAGCAGCCGCGGUAAUACGUAGGGGGCAAGCGUUGUCCGGAAUUACUGGGUGUAAAGGGAGCGCAGGCGGGAAGACAAGUUGGAAGUGAAAUCUAUGGGCUCAACCCAUAAACUGCUUUCAAAACUGUUUUUCUUGAGUAGUGCAGAGGUAGGCGGAAUUCCCGGUGUAGCGGUGGAAUGCGUAGAUAUCGGGAGGAACACCAGUGGCGAAGGCGGCCUACUGGGCACCAACUGACGCUGAGGCUCGAAAGUGUGGGUAGCAAACAGGAUUAGAUACCCUGGUAGUCCACACCGUAAACGAUGAUUACUAGGUGUUGGAGGAUUGACCCCUUCAGUGCCGCAGUUAACACAAUAAGUAAUCCACCUGGGGAGUACGACCGCAAGGUUGAAACUCAAAGGAAUUGACGGGGGCCCGCACAAGCAGUGGAGUAUGUGGUUUAAUUCGACGCAACGCGAAGAACCUUACCAAGUCUUGACAUCCCUUGACGAACAUAGAAAUAUGUUUUCUCUUCGGAGCAAGGAGACAGGUGGUGCAUGGUUGUCGUCAGCUCGUGUCGUGAGAUGUUGGGUUAAGUCCCGCAACGAGCGCAACCCUUAUGGUCAGUUACUACGCAAGAGGACUCUGGCCAGACUGCCGUUGACAAAACGGAGGAAGGUGGGGAUGACGUCAAAUCAUCAUGCCCUUUAUGACUUGGGCUACACACGUACUACAAUGGCGUUAAACAAAGAGAAGCAAGACCGCGAGGUGGAGCAAAACUCAGAAACAACGUCCCAGUUCGGACUGCAGGCUGCAACUCGCCUGCACGAAGUCGGAAUUGCUAGUAAUCGUGGAUCAGCAUGCCACGGUGAAUACGUUCCC
rnacentral:rRNA from 1 species